rnacentral:rRNA from 1 species
GACGAACGCUGGCGGCGUGCUUAACACAUGCCAGUCGAACGGAAAGGCCCUGCUUUUGUGGGGUGCUCGAGUGGCGAACGGGUGAGUAACACGUGAGUAACCUGCCCUUGACUUUGGGAUAACUUCAGGAAACUGGGGCUAAUACCGGAUAGGAGCUCCUGCUGCAUGGUGGGGGUUGGAAAGUUUCGGCGGUUGGGGAUGGACUCGCGGCUUAUCAGCUUGUUGGUGGGGUAGUGGCUUACCAAGGCUUUGACGGGUAGCCGGCAUGAGAGGGUGACCGGCGUCCAUGCGCCUGAGAUACGGCGCAGAAUCCUACGGGAGGCAGCAGUGGGGAAUAUUGCACAAUGGGCGGAAGUCUGAUGCAGCAACGCCGCGUGCGGGAUGACGGCCUUCGGGUUGUAAACCGCUUUCGCAUGUGACGAAGAGUGAGUGACGGUAAUGGGUAAAGAAGCACCGGCUAACUACGUG